CUGGUCCCGCCCCUGCGGGCAGAGCCCCGCCUCUUUCCGCCUCACCCUUUGGGAGUAGGAGUGUGCGGCUGGCUCGUCCCGCCCCUACCCCUGAGUGACAGGACCGUGGACAGCAACAUUUCCAGCCGGCCACGAAGUUUGUCGGCCCUUGCCUUGGCAGAGCUGAGUAAGAAAAAUCACCAACAAUAUUAUUUUUGGUAUUUGGAAUUGAAUUUGCCAGGAAUGCAAGCACAGCUACCUAAGUAAAGACCUUGGCUUUGGAAACAUCUUAUCCCUUGGCAGCUUUCCAGAGUUUAGACUUGGCAGCAUCAAAGACACAACGCAAGCAAUAUGAAAGAGAAAAACAAUUUGGUUGGAUAGCUCUCCUCCAUGCAGUCAUUCAUGAUCCAGGCUGUUAUCAUCUUCAGCACGUCAUGUUCAGAGUUAACCCUAGAGGUCAUCUCCAUUUCAUCUGGAUAAAUGAGUAUACAACGAAAGUUUUUUAGCAGGCAUUUUGGAGAUCAAAGAUGGGUAAAAAAGAUGCUUCUACUAUAAAACUUCCUGUUGAUCAAUACCGAAAACAAAUUGUCAUCCUAACAGGUGUGAGACAUUAUCUCAUUGUGGUUGGAUUUGCACUUAGGACCUUUCCAUGUACCUGUUUGUCAUUUUCUUCAUUUUCUUUGGAGAAAUGUCUGUUCAGAUCUUUGACCAUAUUCUAGUCAGGUAAACAAGAUUACAAAAAAACUAAACCUAUUUUACGAGCAACCAAAUUAAAAGCAGAAGCAAAGAAAACAGCAGUAGGCAUAAAGAAUACCAGUGUUUUAUCUGCUUAAGAGGGAUAAAUGCAACUGAGAAUGAUGUUAGCAGAUAUUAAUUUAAUGUGCCAACACAAUGAAGCUCAACAAAUUGCAUUUACAUUAUUGCCCAUGUCAAUCUUUUGCCAGGAAGUUGGCCUUGUACUUGCAGCUAUAUUGGCACUACUACUGGCUUUCUAUGCUUUCUUUUAUCUCAGACUCACAACGGAUGUUGACGCUGAUCUGGACCAAGAUGAAGAUUAGCUAAGCAGCAAUCAAUGCAUGAAAGGGAAAUAACUAUGAAAGCACGUUUUGGGACCAAAACUUUCAAUACUGAAACUGCAACAUCUUUAUUUAAUUCUCUCUGCUGAUAUUUUCAGUUUCCAGAAAAAAUAGUUGCACAGGUUAUCAAGAAAAGACCCUUACCUAGCAGUGCAGUAUAAUAUGUGCUCCUGGAUACUUUUAUAUAUCAUUCUGCAUUGACAGACACUCUAUAGAUGAUACAUUUAGAUAAAAUGGAAACCAGACCCCAAAUUUUUCAAAUGUUGUUGCCAAUUAGUGUGUGUAAUUCCAUCACUUACAGAAUUACUAAGGCUAUUUUUGUUCUAUAUACAUCCUAAGUAAAAGUAUAUAUUCUUAUUUACAGAAACAUACUCAAAUCGCAUUCAGAAAGAACAGAAAGUCAUGGGAAAUUUUUUAUUUUACAACAAAGACCCUCUCGCUUUCUAGGCGUAUUUUAUAUCAUUAGAGCGACUAUCUGCACAUACAUCUACAGUAAUCUUUUUCCUUCUUUGCCAACUGUUCAGUGCACAUGUGCUCCAUCAGAAGUGGCACCUGGAUGACAGAAGCUCAAAGAGUCACAUAUGUCUCUAAAAUAGAGUUCUUUUCCUCUUGGGCUGUCUGAACUGGUGUAAAUAGAAAGUUCAGUUGAUCUUGAUUUUAAUUAACUUAUUACUCUAUUAAUAUAACCUUGAAAUUCUAUUUUAAUUAUGUCAUUCUGGCUGCUUGUAGUAUCAGUUUGGCCCUCUUGUUAGGGAGAUAUGUAACAAUCUGUUAUUUAAUUGUGCAGUCUUUUUCACAUAAUAGUAAUAGCAAAAAUCCUACCUACUCAGAAUCAUCUUCUUAGGUUGUCUCCUAAAUCUGAAUGAUACAAUUGUUUUAUAAAAUUGCAUUUUGUCUCUUGAGAGUUAAUCAGUUAAAACUCUUUUAGGGAGACAAUAAAUAAUAGAAGAAAAUAUAGGCCUCAUAUUAUUUUCAUAUGUAAUUACCUGUUUAUAUAAUUUUUCAAUGUAUUUUGCAUUUGUGGGAGCAUAAUGACCUGUACAUUCAACAUUUUUACUGGUAAUUCAGUUUUUAAAUAUGUUUUUACAACAUGUGAGCUUAGAAACUGGAAAAUACCUGUCUACAGAAAGUUAUUAGCUACUACCUUAUAUAAAGAUGCAUAGAAAAUGAAAUUGUUGGAAACGUGCACAAAGUGUUUUAUAUAUAUACUUUGUAUUUAUGAAGAAGAAAUAAAAUAUUAAGAUUGUUUCAUACUAGCCAAGAGAAGAAAUCUUUGGGAAGUAUCUGAGGAGUAUAGAGGACUUUAUAAGCACUGUUUCUAAAAGAUAUUCUUUGGUACUUUUGCAAAAAGUCGAAUGUGACUGUAGCAUUAUGUUCUGUAGAAUUUUUUCAAGUAGCAUAAUUUAUUUCAUUGGUGUGAAAACAGCCAAAGGUUCCAAUAUCCUCACAAAUCAUUUAUGCCAAACAUCUGAGGGCAAAAUUUAGCCAGUGUUAUUUACUAGAUUCUUCCCCUUGAACUCACAAACUCAAGAGACAGACCAAGAGUUCUUAUAUACUCACCACAGUGGACCAAUCCAAGUGGCAUUUUUAGGAAAGGUUGCAGCAUUUAAUGCCAUGUGGUAUGUCUGUUCGUCAAGUGGGUGGCAAGGGAAUAUCCAAGCUGGCAUUUUGGAUAUGAUGGGCCUUUUACUAUCCUGAGUGACAUGCCACAUGUCAAGAAAUACUGCUUUCCGCCCCCCACACCCAUCACAUUUACGUGAGCAAUUUUCAUUUAGUUAUUUCCCUUUCCAUAUGGUGUUAAAAACAGUCAUAUUAAAUAAAGAUUAUUUCUAGUUUUCAGUGGUAAUUUAAAUGAGAGGGUAUGUAAUAAUUGCUUCUUAGAUACUUAUCCAAAUGAAGUAUAACAGAGUUUACAGUAUUUAAAAUAGGUGAUUAUGCUCUUGGAAAUGCCUUGAAAAUUCAUCAUCCUGAAAAAAACUUUACCAUUCUGUUCCACCCUUGAGGUGUUUUUUGGGGAAAAAUGUUUUUGAUAGUAAUAAUUAUUAGUCUAAAUACAGUAUAAUUAGAGGCAAAUUUCAUUGCCUAGUUUUAUUAAUAUCCUGUGUCUACGGUCCAUUCAUAUGACUGAUUGAUUUAUGAUGGCUCCAGAGAACCGUAAAUUUCAAAGGCUAAACUCCCUGAUUUCAGUAAAUAGCAGGUAAAGUGACACAAUAUAUGUUUACACAACACUGUUUUCACGAAAUGCAAAUUUUGCAAAACUCACAUUAACUGGGAAGCAGCCAACCCUCUGUAGAGAAAUCCCAGAUUGAAAGUCUGGUUUGAAUCUUUGAAGACAGAAAGGUGAUAUCCGGCCUGCUGUUUUAAAGGGACAACACUUUUGAAUACCGAGUGGUGUUUGGCAUAAAUCUGAGACUGGCACCGGAUACAAAUUUUAGACAUGGGUAUUUUCCCUCCAACAAUUCACUGCUCAGAGUAAUUCAGAAGACAAAAACAGAAAAAAAUCAUAAUGGUUUUUUAAAUGAUAGAAUCUGUUUGUUAACAUACUCAGCAACAUAAAUUUCAACUAAUCCAAUAGACUUAAAAUAUAGCCUAUGGAAUACUGUGAUUGAAGUUUGAAGGCUUGCUGUUCUUAUUUUGCAUGUAAGUUUAGACAGGGUAAAGAAUGUAUAAAUUCAUUUGAGACGAGAGAGAGUAUUGUAAAAAUAUAACCUCAUCUAGAAUUUGUUUAAAAACAAGCAAAAGCCUAUUUUAGUACAAAUGUAGGAUGGGUUGUUGUUUUAAAGUGGCAAAAUACUUCAGGAUUUUCUCUUUUUAAAGACAGAAGAAAUACUAUCACCCCAACCAAUGACUGUAAGAUCUUGAGAGUAUGUUCUUAUUUAUUUCUGUAAUUUCGGUAGUGUAGUCAUCUUCAUAUAAAUUUAAUAAAUGCAUGUUAAAAUUUAAGUUAAUGUCUUUUAGUCCUCUCAGAGUCUGUCACAGUUAUUUGUGUAAAGUAGAUGAUCAAAAAUUGUUUGAAUUUAAUAAAUAAAAAUUAAAAUCACAAUAUCAGUCAA